rnacentral:rRNA from 1 species
GACGAACGCUGGCGGCGUGCUUAACACAUGCAAGUCGAACGAUGAAGCCGGAGCUUGCUCUGGUGAAUUAGUGGCGAACGGGUGAGUAACACGUGAGUAACCUGCCCUUGACUCUGGGAUAACUGCUAGAAAUGGUAGCUAAUACCGGAUACGACCCUCGGAGGCAUCUCCAGGGGGUGGAAAGAAUUUCGGUCAAGGAUGGACUCGCGGCCUAUCAGCUAGUUGGUGGGGUAAUGGCUCACCAAGGCGACGACGGGUAGCCGGCCUGAGAGGGUGACCGGCCACACUGGGACUGAGACACGGCCCAGACUCCUACGGGAGGCAGCAGUCGGGAAUAUUGCACAAUGGGCGCAAGCCUGAUGCAGCAACGCCGCGUGAGGGAUGACGGCCUUCGGGUUGUAAACCUCUUUUAGUAGGGAAGAAGCGAAAGUGACGGUACCUGCAGAAAAAGCACCAGCUAACUACGUGCCAGCCGCCGCCGUAA